UGCCCACACGUCUAUAAUGCUACAUGAUGUCUGUAAUGUUAAGUUGCUUUUGAUGUUACCUGUCACCUCAAUAGUAUACAUGGAUUAUCAUCUUGUUUCAUAAUGGUCAAUGCUAAUUUAUUAUUAUAGAAAGCGGCUGAAAGAGGAGGCUAUGGGGGAGUGAGCGAUAUGAAAGGAUAGAGUUCCAAAAGAAAGUUGCAGAGCAUUACCAUUCACUCCGUGAUUCGACACGGAAUGUAACUCAGUUUCUGCAAGAAUCGCCAAGUUGUGGUUCUUGUAUUUGCUUUGCCUCUUGUGCCAAUGACUCAAGUCUUGAUAUGUGCCAACUCAAGGGUCUGGAAUUGCAAGUGAAACAGAUUUAAUACCUAUUUUGUUCAGUUUGUGGUGAUAUCAGAGCUAAUAUUUUUGUGCAGAAAAUGAAGCUCCUAACAGAGAAGAAACCCUG
rnacentral:lncRNA from 1 species